UCACAGACUCUCUGAACAGCUGGGCCUGGU
rnacentral:piRNA from 1 species